GACGAACGCUGGCGGCGUGCUUAACACAUGCAAGUCGAACGGAAAGGCCCAGCCUUUGUUGGGUGCUCGAGUGGCGAACGGGUGAGUAACACGUGAGUAACCUGCCCUUCACUUUGGGAUAACCUUAGGAAACUGGGGCUAAUACCGGAUAGGAGCACCUGCUGCAUGGUGGGGGUUGGAAAGUUUCGGCGGUUGGGGAUGGACUCGCGGAUUAUCAGUUUGUUGGGGGGGUAGUGGCUUACCACGGCUUUGGCGGGUCGCCGGCCUGGGGGGGUCACCGGCCACAUUGGGACUGGGAUACGGCCCGGACUCCUACGGGGGGCAGCAGUGGGGAAUAUUGCACAAGGGGCGGAGGCCUGUUGCAGCAACGCCGCGUGCGGGAUGACGGCCUUCGGUUUGUAAACCGCUUUCGCCUGUGACGAAGCGUGAGUGACGGUAAUUGGUAAAGAAGCACCGGCUAACUACGUG
rnacentral:rRNA from 1 species